rnacentral:rRNA from 1 species
AACUUGAAGGAAUUGACGGAAGGGCACCACCAGGCGUGGAUGCUGCGGCUUAAUUUGACUCAACACGGGGAACCUUACGGGGUUUGGACACAGGUANGAUUGACGGAUUGAAAGCUCUUUCCUGAUUCCGUGGAUGGUGGUGCAUGGCCGAUCUCAGCCCGUGGGUUGACUUGUCAGGUUCACUCCGGUAACGCGCGAGACCCCGACUUACCAAAUAGCGCACCCCGGCAUGCCGGGUGCGGUGCUUCUUGGAGGGACUCCCGGUGAGAGCCGGCUGAAGCCGGGGCAAUAUCAGGUCAGUGAUGCCCUUAGUUAUCCUCGGUUGCACGCGUCCUACAAUGUGGCGUCCAACGAGUUCUUCCCUUGCCCGAGAGGCUUGGGUAAUCUGUGAAGAGCGCCACGUGACGGGGCUAGACUCUUGAUAUUCUUGGUCUUCAACGAGGAAUGCCUAGUAGUCGUGGGUCAGUAUCCCACGACGAUUACGUCCCUGCCCUUUGUACACACCGCCCGUCGCUGAUNCUGAUGGCAGCAUUGACGAAAUCGGGGGAACGGAUGGCCGGCCCUCGGGUCGAGCGACCGGAACCUGCUAAGCCAAUUUGCUANAGGAAUCAAAAGUCNUAACAAGGUCUCCGUUGGGGAACCAGCGGAAGGGAUCAUU